rnacentral:rRNA from 1 species
UACGAAGGGUGCAAGCGUUACUCGGAAUUACUGGGCGUAAAGGGUGCGUAGGUGGUUCGUUAAGUCUGAUGUGAAAGCCCUGGGCUCAACCUGGGAAUUGCAUUGGAUACUGGCGGGCUGGAGUGCGGUAGAGGGUAGUGGAAUUCCAGGUGUAGCAGUGAAAUGCGUAGAUAUCGGGAGGAACAUCCGUGGCGAAGGCGACUGCCUGGACCAGCACUGACACUGAGGCACGAAAGCGUGGGGAGCAAACAGGAUUAGAUACCCGCGUA